CCUACGGGUGGCAGCAGUAAGGAAUAUUGGUCAAUGGACGAAAGUCUGACCCAGCCAUGCCGCGUGGAGGAUGAAGGUCCUCUGGAUUGUAAACUUCUUUUAUAUGGGACUACAAAAGGCCUUUCCAGGUCGUCUGACGGUACCAUAUGAAUAAGCACCGGCUAACUCCGUGCCAGCAGCCGCGGUAAUACGGAGGGUGCAAGCGUUAUCCGGAUUCACUGGUGUUAAAGGGUGUGGGUAAGUCAGUGUAGAAAUCCCCGAGCUUAACUUGGGAACUGCCAUUGAUACUAUCAGUCUUGAAUACCGUGGAGGUCAGCGGAAUAUGUCAUGUAGCGGUGAAAUGCUUAGAUAUGACAUAGAACACCAAUUGCGAGGGCAGCUGGCUACACGAGUAUUGACACUGAGGCACGAAAGCGUGGGGAUCAAACAGGAUUAGAUACCCUGGUAGUC
rnacentral:rRNA from 1 species